AGCAACACCCUGGCCUCAGCCUCCCAGAGUGCUGAGAUUUCACAGUUUAAUCAUGAAAGGCUCUUCUGAUUGGCCGCCUCCAGGGACUAGUGCCUCUGCUCGGCUGGCCCUCUAGGAGUCGACAGCAAAUAAACAAUUCCCGACAGCAAAUAAACAAUUCCCGCUGGGAAGCUGGUCUCAGACAGGAGCAUCCACACCCCUGCCACGCCUGCCGCCUGGAGCUGAGUGGGGUCCCUGUGCCGCCUUCAGCGCACCUCCCUAGGCACCUCUG